CAACCACGUGAUCAGUAAAAAUUGUGUAUUUUCACGUGAAUUCAUUUUCCGGAAUUCCUUACUCCGUCAUAGAAUAGUCGAAAAACAAAAAGGGGUUCCGAAAGUGUUUGUUGCUGUGACUGACUCGCCUAGAGAAAAUAUGCACGUACCACAUAAGUAUACGUCAAUAUCUGUAAUAAUGGUAGAUGAAAUGUUUCAUCUGUGUGAAACUUUUUGCUAAUCGAAAUGUUAAACCAACCACCAAUCCAUGUACAUAGAUGCGCUACGUAAACAAAGUUGUUGGUUGAUACAUCGUAAUGUCCGAGUGCAGCAUGCUGCGAGAUUAAAUACUGUUUAUACAGUCAUUGAGAGGCUUAACAAAGUUUCUUGCAAGAAGAGGAAGUUGGUGGAUGCAUUCAACUUGGACAACGAAAUCAUAGUUUCGUUUGGCAUCAGUCUGAGGACCAAGGGAGGUUAGAUAGGACCAGUGCAGGUUGAUGUGGAUUUCGAGUCAACAAGUAUAACAGCAAGAGAGGUACUCCAUUUACAGUGAUGAUGACAUAUCCCCUGGACCCCCACAACUCCACAAAUUUAAAAAUGUUUGAUCAAGUUCCGAAGAUUAAAGAACUACUGCAAAAUUUGGGACUUGGAUGAAAAACGUUAAUUCACUUAUAUGAGCUCAGAGCAGUGGAUGUUGUACAACAUACUUUAAACUAAAUUGUGAAUUUGAGGGAAAACAAGUACAUGUACUCGUGUAUUACAUGUACAUGCCUUUUGAAAGACAAUAAUAUUGCAUAGAUGUAAAGGAAAUUUCAAUGUUGAUUAUUCUUUCUUAGAUAUAUUAGUAAAAAAUGUGCACAUGAUAGAAUAUCAAUUUUAUAACUUCAAUCAAUGUGUUUGAAUUUUCCUUGUAAUUCAAAAUUUAGUUGAAACAUACAUCAUUGAUACAUUAAUGUAUAUAAAAUUUUUAUAAAAGUUUCAUAAUGGAACUAAUUCACCCCCCCCCCUUAUACAUACAGUGAACAUAGACCUUCACCUGGGGAAAUCUACUGUUAGUUAAUGCAAUAUACAUGUACAUGCAUUCUCAGUUAUCCAAUAGUGAGUUUUUGGUUCAUUGUGAAACUACAAUUAAAAAUCUUAAACUUAUGAAAGACACACUUAUCUGUGAGGGAAAGAUGACUCAGAUGGACUUACAUGUAGUGAUCCAUGGACAGUCCAUGGGUCUCUUUCCAUUGAUAUUAAUUAUUUAUUGAAAUAUGAAAUGGUUAUUUAAACAUAUUUGGUGUAUUAUACUGUAUAGUGAUAUAAAUUUCUAUAAAAAAAAAUAUGUACAAGUAAUAGAUUUGGUCCAGUUAUUACAAGAAAUUGUGUGAAAAAUAACUAAAUAUUUAGGCAAUCAUUGCGAGUGCAAAAAGGUCAACUGCAAUAGCACACACUAUAUAUCAUUCUUAAAUGGCUCAUAGAAACUUCUAGUAUUGUGAAUUUGAAUGCUCAAUGUGGCAAUUUGGGAAUGCUUAAUCAUUUAAGGUCAAUAGUUUAUCUCUGCUGACUGUAUCUCUUAAAAUUCAUUUCUAGAAGGGAGGGGGUAGGGUUACAAAAUCUGACAUAGUUUCAGAUUAAACCUCAUUUGGUAUAUUUUUUUCCAUUCAAUAUUUUAGAUACUACUUGACUUAUUGUAAAAAUGAAAUAAAAUCAGAAAUUUUA